GAUGAACGCUGGCGGCGUGCCUAAUACAUGCAAGUCGAGCGAACGGACGAGACGCUUGCUUUUCUGAUGUUAGCCGCGGACGGGUGAGUAACACGUGGAUCACCUACCUAUCAGACUGGGAUAACUUCGGGAAACCGGCGCUAAUACCGGAUAAUAUUUUGAACCGCAUUGUUCAAUAGUGAAAGACGGUCUUGCUGUCACUUAUAGCUGGAUCUGGGCUGCAUUAGCUAGUUGUUAAGUUCACGGCUUAGCAAGGCAACGAUGCGUAGACGACGUGAGAGAGGGGUAGGCGACAUGGGAGCGUAGCCAGCGACCAGGGGACUAAGGGAGGCAGCAGUAGGGAACGGUACGCAACGGGGGAAAGUCUGACGGAGUAACGGCGCGUGAGUGAUGAAGGUCUUCGGAUCGGAAAGCCCGGUUAUUAGGUAAGAACAUAUGUGUAAGGAACUGUGCAGUGAGUGACGGUAACUAAUCAGAAAGCCACGGCUAACUACGUG
rnacentral:rRNA from 1 species